rnacentral:lncRNA from 1 species
UGCAUAGGACAUAGGGAUCGGAUCAAAAAUGAUCUUCUUCCUCUCAUUACUCGUACUGGCUUGAUUACCAUUGGGAGGCUGGUAAGUCUGCUGCUGAGGACGAUGUUGUUGAUGCUGAUAUUGCUGAGUUGGUCUUCUCUGUUGUUGUUGAGUUUGAGUGGCUGGAAUAGUCACAGCAGCAACUUGCCGAUACUGUCCUUUGUUCACACUCCUCCGACGGUGCACAACGUUUGUUUCACCCUCUCCCCCUUCUGGGUGCCCCAGAGGAUGACUUUUUAGAACUUGAAGGAUUUGAAGAGCCAGGAUGGCGAAC